rnacentral:misc_RNA from 1 species
GAGAGCGAGCCUUAUGGGCGAGCAUUAAUAUCCAUAACACUGUGAACCGUUGACCUUUGGGUCAUUUUUUUAACAAACUUUUGUGUAAUGAACGUAUAAAACUAUAAUCAAUA